GAAGCCCCAGCAGCUGCUCAGGUGAGUGAGGUCCACACUGCAGAGAUUCCUGUCUCCCAGUGGACAGGAAGCCCCCUCAGCGUCUCCUCCAGGUGAGUGCUGGGGGGAGGGGAGGGGAAGGCUGCAAAGCACAUGUGCCUUCUCCCCCCCAACCCCCCUGCAACAGCCAGGGCUGCCGCUACCUCAGCUCUAGCCCUCUGCCGGCCAGCGCAGCGUCUCUCGUUGUCUAGCAGCAAGAGCUGCUGCUUCCCAGAGAGCCACAGAGAUUUGCUUCAGGCAGGGACACACUGCCCAAUUGCGUGGGGCCGAGGAGAGUGAGGUCCACUGCAGGAAACCCCCUCGGCGUCUCCUCCAGCACAAAGCCGGUGCAUGAAAAAGCAGCUUCCCUGAAGAGCUCUGAGCUCAUGCACAGCCAGGAGAAACUGGAGGCGUCUCAUAAGGAGAAGAGCUUGGAUGCCCUGGAUGGCAGUUUGCAUCUGAAUGAAGCUCUGAAGGAUGAAGAAAUAAAGAAAUGUCUCAGAGAAGCGACACCAAAUAAAUACAACUCGCAGUACCACAAGCUGUUCAAGGACAUCCCCACGGAGGAGAGUGUCUUGAAAGUCUGCUCCUGUGCGCUCCAGAGAGACAUCCUCAUCCAGGGGCGGCUCUAUAUCUCCCCCAACUGGCUCUGCUUCUAUGCAAACCUCUUCGGGAAGGACAUCAAGGUGGUUAUCCCAGUGGUCUCGGUUCAAUUGAUAAAAAAGCACAAAACGGCCCGGCUGCUGCCCAAUGGGCUGGCUAUCACCACCAAUGCCAGCAGAAAGUACAUCUUUGUGUCCUUGAUCUCUCGAGACAGCGUGUACGAUGUGCUGAGGAGAGUCUGCACGCACCUACAGGUUUCAAGUAAGAAGAGUUUGAGUUUGAAAGAAUUCACAGAGGAACCUGAUUCCGUAUCCCUGGAGGUGAUUGUCCCAGAAGUGAAGUGGAGGAAGGUUUCCCCAGCAUCUCUCUCCCUAUCUCUCCCGGAUGCAGACUACCAGUGCAUCCACCGAGCGUCCAUCAGCAGCCUCAGCACCAAGGAGAGCUCUUUUAAUUCCGAGGAGCCCCUGGUAUCAGAAAGUGCAAUAAAUACAGAAGAGGAGGAAUUGGAGGAGGAACCAAACUAUGUAGGAGAGCUGAGACCGUCUGAUUAUCAGCUCUUGAAAAUCUUCAUUGUACUGAUCUGCCUCCUGGUUGUGUCCUCGUCAUAUCUGGCAUUCCGGAUCUUCCGUCUGGAGCAGCAGCUCUGCUCUCUGAAUCGGGACUACCUCUCACGCGGGCACCGGAGGUGACCGUCGCCCCGGAGCUGUGGCUCAUGAUGGACUUUGACAGGAAAAUAGCAUUUUGUGUACAGAUCUCCAGGGCGUCCUACUGGUGAGCGUGUCUGCAAUAUCGAGAGAGUCUGAAUCCAGGAUUGCUCACUCCUUUAUUCCGUGUUAUUUCUGGCUCGUGACACCUCCUUUUGCAAUUGCAAAACCCCACAUCCCUCCCUUCCUUGGCCCGUCAUGCUAUGGGAUUGGACUGGAGCUCAGCAGGCCAUCCAUGCAGUCACUUCUUCCAAGCGAUAGCCACCUCUUUGUACAAAACCCGCUGCCAAGCAUUGACUGUUUAUCAGAGUUUUGGGUGCAGCUUCGUUGGACGGCGGCUCGAGCUGCAUCUCCAGCCGGAUUCUGAGAGCAAGUAAGAACAGUUAGUAGCUCGAUGGUCCAGGAAUCGUUUCUGUUGAGCAUAGGAGGUGUCACAGCAGCAUGCAAUCUGCUGCGCCCUUGAUCAGCACACUUAGGACCAAAUACUGUUGUUCUUCUACCAGCAGAGACUCCUGCUCAAGCAGGGACAGACUGUCAAUAUAGCCUGAGCUGCUGCCAGCAGGACUCCCCUUCUUUUCAAUUGGCCAGGGCCUGGUGCUAGUGAAACCACAUGUUCUUCCAGGGGCCUUGGCUUUGGCCCAGAUACACGGUGCCGGAGCCAAAUCACCAUGAUAGCGGGAGACUCUAGCACAAUGACACCAGCAUUGGGCCAUCGUCGCAUUCAUCGGACGGUGGCACAACAGAUUACAGGACAACCGUGGACCUCAGUUAAGUGAGAAGCCCUGGUAGCAGAGACUGACCCUCCCUACGGAGCUCAGGAUGGGGGACACAGCUGGGGCAUGUUCUGUUCUCCCAGAACACACAUCCCACACUCAGCUAGUUCUCCUCAGGACGGAUUUCUUCUUGCCCUUCGGGGUUUCCACAUUACCCUUCCACACUGGGCCUUGGCCUAGCCGGGUCCCAAAUGCAUCUUUGCUUAGGUGCCAGUGUUCAUACUCAGGCAAUAGCUCAGUUACAGUAGUUGUCAUAACUUUCAGUAUAAAAAUUACAGCUCCAGUGAGAUGCCAGACAGGUUCGAGGCCUCUUGGCCUGAUACCUGCUGAAGUCAGGUUCUUCAGGUGGCAAUAGCAGACUGUUAGUUGUGGGGAUUCUUGUGUAACUCACAUCCCCUGUGAGGCUAGUGUGCGCAGCAUAGAUCAUGCUUAACCGUCCCACAUCCCUUCCAAAACGUACCACGGUCCCUGUGCCAGCGUUCCUUCAGGGCAGAAGAGGUGAAAAUAAAGGGAUGAGGUGGUUCGCUAACCCCAAAGCCCAGCCCCACCCAGUGCUAUGCAGAGUACGUGCCAUACUGUAAUAAUACUCUGCUGCACUGGGCAAUCCAGGGAAAGGGCAGCCCGCCCAUCUGCAAGCAGAUGCAAAGCAAGGCCGACCUGCACGGGGUAGAGUUUGGCAGUGGGGAGAUGAACGGGCUAGAAUUAGACCCCUCAUUCGGCUCCUUGAGGAGGCCAGAGGGACAGUUUAGAACAAGAUUCAGGAAGGCUCUGUUUGAAAGGCAUCUGCACUUUAAGGGAAAUACAGAGACUGGCCAGGAACCAGCAGUGUUGAGUCCAAACUUGGAAUGAUGGUUGUCUGAUGGCAGUGCCAGGCAUGCUGUGUUCUCCACAUGGGGCUCCUCAGCACCCCAAGUUUCUAACCACAGGAGAGGGCUGUAUUGGAGCACCCCCAAAGAAGAGUCGAGAGGUGGGCCUGGAGCUGGCCUUUGGGUGGUGGGUUUGUAGUAGGAUGUAGCCCUGCUGCGAUUAGGAGCCAGCGAACACCUUAGAGAGGGCAGGAGGAAUAGCUGUGUCUGUGUUCCCUCAGAAGCUCUGUGUCGUCAGUAUCUAAAUGAAACUUCCAGUGCUCUGUGGCCUGACGCUGGGGAGUGCAGGGACUGAGCAAAAACCCUGCUGUACAUGGGGGACAAUGGAGCUGUGGGGGAUGGGAUGGGAGGCAUGAGUGCAAUGCUAGAAGAGGCUGAGCUCAUAAAUAUUCAAAAGCCUGGCUGGGCUGCUGCAUAUUAGGAGUCCGGCCUGUUUAGCGUUCUAGAAGCACCUCUUGUACAGCCACUGUAACCAUGCACUUUAGGAGCCUGAUCCAAAGUCAAUGGAAAGACUCGCAUUGACUCCAGCGGGUUUUGGAUCAGCCCCUCAUUCCCCUCACGCUGAAUAAAGCUGUCUCUGCAUCGCUUGCGUGUGUGAAGCGCUUUGGGAUCACGUGGAGCGAAAGGUGGGAGACAGACACAAUAUGGUGCAAGCAGCACCAGGACGCAGCACUCCCCUCACACCAGCAAGCAGCUCGUAUAACUCUGGCGUCAGGAUGCCUGUGAUUCCCUCAGUGAGUCAUUCCAGAAGGGAUGCGCCCAGCAGUUAUGAGUAGGCUGCUGGAGAGUGGCCAUGUUGCCACCAAGGUGGCUGCCUGUUACUCACCAAUCCCCACUUCUCCAGUGUGUGUGUGUGCAUCAGGCAUCCGCUCUUUGGGUUGAUUGUGUUUGAAAGCACUGCUAAACCGAAGUGCCAUGUCCCCUGUGAGCUCUGCAGGGAGCAGCGUCCUGCCUCCGCUGUCCCCCCCCCCCCCCUUCCUGCCCUGGCAGCCGAUCUCACAGGGGAGAGGAGUACAGCUAGCAAGGAGGAUGUGUGGAUUGGCCGCAGUGCCACAAAGUGCCAGGAAAUGCUUUAUGCCAGGGAUCAUUUCGGGAGUGGGAGUGGGAGGUCUGACUCACUGUCUUGCACAAAUGACAGCUCAGUUUUUCAGAGUUCAAAUCUCUUUCAGUGUUUAACAAAAAAAACAACCCUCCAGUCACAUUAACCCACGCUCCUGGGGAUGAGGUCCCAGCGAGCAGUGGGGUGUGGACUCGCUUUGCGGAUAGCGCUCCGCUCCUCCAUUGUUGGAACUGUUUGUCUGCGGAUUGGCCAUCAAAACUGCUCUUGCACAUUUGCUUGGGUCAGGACUGCUCCCGGCUUUCACCCUGUCCCCUAUAAACAUAUGACAUCAGAACCCCUGCAGCUGGCAGAGGUGCACAUUGACUGUGUCAGCCACAGCUCUUGAACUGCUGUGGUAGUGCUGGCAGCUUCCUGCCAGCAGCAGGAUGCCUGGGAGAGAGACAGAGCUGCAGUGGGUGUAGCCACGUCUGCUGUAUUGCAUGGUGCCAUCCAGGGAGGAGUACUGUGAUGCUGACUCCUGCUUCAAAGCACAGCACUUACAGAGCUGCGGAGGGGGCUCUGCAGGCGGUGGCAGGACUUGCAGAAAAAGAACGACACACUCCAUGGCCUAACUCUGUGUGUCUGGGCUGAGCUCAUUCAACUGCCAUUAACCUCAUCGCCGCUGCAAGGUCAGCAGCUGCUUUUGCUCCAUUGCCAUCAGCUCCAGGGCUAAGCAGGGCUCCUGCAGCAGGAUUUGAACACUCCCUUCUGGAGGAAUAGGACCAUAUGAUGAGCUUAUUGAAGACUUGGGAUCUGUUUGAGUAGCACACUCAUCCCAGGACCUUUGUUAGAGGAGGGCAGCGCAGCGCAGAACUAGGGGUGCCAUCGUGUGUUCCUAUCACAGCUAGCUGGGGCUGGGAAUCCACUCGUCACUGCACAGAGAAGGUUUCUAAGCACUAGCGUUUGGGAGUAACCGAAGAUUCGGGAGCUCUCCUGAUCCCCCUCCCAUUGCAGCUGUUUUCCACUGAAACCACACUCCUCGCCAUAGUCUGUAGGCACCUUCCAGUUGGGCAUUAAGCAUUGUGACUACGCAUCUCUCCCAUGUUUGUUCUCUUAUCCUCACCCCAGAGGGAGUAGCACGUGCAGGGGAGUGUCUUGUUUUGGUAAGGGUGAUUUUAAUCUUAUUUUUAUUAAAUAAAUACACCAGUUGCAGAAUGGAGGUCAAAGAAACGCACCUUGCACUUCGAGCAGAAAGUGGUGAGGUUUGUGGUAGCCCUUAGUUCCUGGCCAGGGGAGUUCAUUGCACAGGCUCAGACUGCCCCUGGAGAAAGGUCUGUCUCCCUCACAGAUGAGCUUUACUCUUUUUAUUGUUCCAUUGUGACAGAGGAACAAAGUUGUCGACAAGGUCUUCAUCCCAGUCCGACCUUCAUCCCUUAAAUGAUCUUUUAGGUACCCUGGCACAGGCCGUCGAAUGCAUUGAGGAUAAGGACUGAGCCUUGAAUUUGAGUGGAAAUGCUAGGGGAAGCCAGCGUAGAGAGUAGAGGACUGGUGCUCAUGGCAGGCUGCGGUGUUGAGAUGUGCUACAGUGUUCUGUACUCGGAGUUCUCUAAGCACUCCAGGUUUCAUGCCCAGGUAUAUUGCAUUGCUGCAGGCCAGCUGAGCAGUGAUGAAGGUGUGAAUAACUGAGGCCUGGCCUGAUGGGAUGGUGUGUCCUAGCCAGCUGGAAGUGAUGGAAAGCAUUACUCACAACCACUGUAACAUGCGAGCUUGUUGUCAGUGAGGAAUCCAGGAGUACUCCUAAGUCAAUGGACUGAAUUGACCAAUUGUGGAUGUGAACUUCAGCCAAAGGAGACUCCAUCAUGGCUGCACACUCUUCAAAAUACUUUCCCCCACCCUCCAGCAUCACCUCAGUUUUGCUCGGGUUUAGCAUCAACCAGCUGUUCUUCAUCCAUGAGCUGAUCUCAUCCAAGCAUUGGGUUGUCUUGGUGGUAGGUGUGUGGUCAUAUGUGGUGAAGGAUGGGAAGAGUUGUGUGUCAUCGGCAUAUUGCUGGCACUUGAGUCCAUGUCAUCUGACCUGUUCACUGAGCAGUUGGAUGUAGAUGUCAAAAGGGACCGGUGAGGGAAUUGAUCCUUGUGGAAACCCUAAGUGCGGGGUCUAGUGGUAGAGGUGCAGUUGCCCAUCACUGCUUUUUGGGUGUGUUUGUAUAGGAAGGACUCAAACCAUUUUACCUCAUUACCCUGGACUACUGUCCUCUCAGGCCAGACAGCAUAUUUCACGGUCAUUCAUCUCAAACGCUGUAGAGAGGCCCAGGAGGAGGAGAAUGGCUGUCUGGCCUCUGCCCACUGACAGCAGGAGAUCACCCAUCAGUGCCACUAGGCCAGUUUCAUUUCUAUGUCCUAGCCUGAAUCCAUGUUAUGCAAGAUUUAGAAUGUUAACUUCAGUUGGGCGAGCUUGUAGUUGGCCUUUUGCUAGCUUCGCUGCGAGCUCAAGAAUGGGAGGUUUGACGCUGGGCUAGGACUGAAUUACCCAGGCUGGAGGCUUUUCUAGCUGCAAUUUAGUCCUCAGUUGUCAUCCAAUCAUUCCAUUGUUUACUUUUAGCAUUCAUUUAUUUUACUUUUCUAGCUGCAGUUUAUUGUUCCAUUUUCUAGCUGCAAUUUUUUGUCCUUCCUUCCAGUGUUGUUGUCACUAAGAUGGAGAGCUCUAAGCUGGGAUGCCAGAACUACUCCAGCAGGAGAACAGGACUUUAUUUCCUCUUUUUACAUCCCUUCCUACAGCCCUCUCCACUACACCUCUGAAUGCCAAGUGCUAGCUGCCAGUCACUGGUUUGCUCAGAUCCUCUGGGAGAUGGGACGUGAGCACACAAUCCUUUAAGGUUUUAUAACGGUAUUUAUUAACUUUAAAGAGCAGGGAAAUGUAUCCCAAGGCACUAACCCAGAGAUGAGCAACUAUUAAAGCUCUCAGUGGUGGGCCAGUAACUUCCCAGGACCAUCCCAUGAGCCAUGUGAUUGGGAGACGAGAGAGGCUGGGGCCUUUUGAACCAUCCUCGCAGCUGCAUGUUCACGCCCUGUCUCCUAGUGACUGGCUUGCACACUCAAGUAGCUAGUCUCUGAGGGUGUGUCUACACUGCAGUUAACCCACAGCUGCCCUGUGCCAGCUGACUUGGGCUUAGGGUUUAGGGGUUGUUUAAUUGUGGUGUAGAUGUCCAGGCUCAUGCUGGAGCCUGGGCUCUAGGAUCCUGUGAGCUGGGAGGGUCCCAGAGCUAGGGCUGCAGCUGAAUGUUUUCAAUCCACUAGUGAAAUGAGUGUCCCUGAACUGCCAUGACCCACUUCUUACCCUGAGUUGCAUCCUCUAACCAGCAGCUGCAAGGCAUUGCAGACAAGAGCAGCCUGGUUUCUGUAAGCCCCCAGAUAGAUCACAGUGAAAUCACUCAAACAGGCAUUUUGCCUGCCUCCAGCACCUGAGACUGGCCUCUCCCACUGAAGUAUUAAUGUCAAUGAGUGCAGCAGCGAGCAGUCAGAGGGGCUGUAACCUCGGCCAAGGAGGAAAUGCCCUUUAGCAUGGCCAGCGUGGUCAGGCUGAAGUGACAGUGACAAGACCCGGGGUAGGAAUGGCCCAGUAGACGUCACAAUCCUGUAGCAUGGGGGAGGAUUCCAUUCACACACACCACGCUCCCCCCUGGGAGGCUGGGGACAAAGGCUGGAGCCAUUUGUGGUCCUUGUGGCCAAAGGAAGGGGAGUAGCCAGGGCGGAGCUAAUGAUGCUGUCAUGAAGCUCGUUUUGAAGAGCUGGACUCUGUCCCUGGUCCGGUCACUUGUACAGUAUUUUUGUGAGUCAAACACAAUCUCAAUGCGAUUUUUACCCUUACUCUUCAUUCCAGCCUACCCUAGGAGUGUGUGCUGGUGCAACACCACACCUGGGAACUUGAAGUACUGAUGCAUCAAUGACUGGGGAAGGCAGCUGAAGUCAGUGCAUGCACAGCCCAGCCUUGCUGCUUCUAUUUUUAUAUUUGUUGUAAACCAGAAGUAUUUAUAUAGAUCCAGUGAAUGGUUCAAGUCCUUUUUCCCCCCUCCUCAGUUGUAUAACUACAUCUGUUGGCCAGUGGAUGACAUCUAGGGAAUAGAAUGCUGUCUUGCUGUAGCCUGUGAACAUAUUUUAAAUAAAAACCGACAUUUUCUAGUGUG